rnacentral:rRNA from 1 species
CUCGCGUGUCGUGUCAGCAGCCGCGGUAAUACAGAGGAUGCAAGCGUUAUCCGGAAUUACUGGGCGUAAAGCGCACGUAGGCGGAUACUUAAGUUAGGGGUGAAAUCCCGGAGCUCAACUCUGGAACUGCCUUUAAAUACUGGGUAUCUCGAGUCCGGAAGAGGUGAGUGGAAUUCCGAGUGUAGAGGUGAAAUUCGUAGAUAUUCGGAGGAACACCAGUGGCGAAGGC